UAAAUGACUCUCGGCAACGGAUAUCUCGGCUCAYGCAUCGAUGAAGAACGUAGCAAAAUGCGAUACUUGGUGUGAAUUGCAGAAUCCCGUGAACCAUCGAGUUUUUGAACGCAAGUUGCGCCCGAAGCCUUCUGGUUGAGGGCACGUCUGCCUGGGCGUCACGC
rnacentral:rRNA from 1 species